rnacentral:rRNA from 1 species
UACGUAGGGGGCAAGCGUUGUUCGGAAUUACUGGGCGUAAAGCGUGCGCAGGCGGCUCCUUAAGUCAGAUGUGAAAGCCCCGGGCUUAACCUGGGAACUGCGUUUGAAACUGGGGAGCUAGAGUGUAGAAGAGGGGGGUGGAAUUCCAGGUGUAGCAGUGAAAUGCGUAGAUAUCUGGAGGAACACCGAUGGCGAAGGCAGCCCCCUGGGCUAACACUGACGCUCAUGCACGAAAGCGUGGGGAGCAAACAGG